ensembl:lncRNA
CCUUCUCUAAAACUAGCUAACCCAGGAAUGCAGAUUUUAAAGUAAAAGAGAUUCUGCUCAGGAUUUUUCUGGCGGUCCAGUGGUAAGGUAUAUACCUCAUUCACUUGCGAUGCUCCUCCAUGGUCUCUGCUGCCUGCACUGCUGGCCAUCUGUUACAGUGGCAUCGUGCCAGCUUACAGGAUAGCUCGCCGGCUUCACAGAAGCCCCGGGGCCAAGAAAUGGUUUCAACAGGAAGCCCUUAUGUAACUCACAAGAGUGCCUGGAGAGAACUCCUGAUUGCCUCUUCUUUUCCCCACACAGCAAUGCU